UUCAAUUAUAUUACUCUUUUUUAAUUACUACUUGAUAUACUUUGUACUUCCUUUUAAUUAUACAUAUUUUUGUUAAUAUUUUGACCCUUCAUUGUUUUUCACUCUAAAGCACUUUGUCUUUAUUUUCGCCGUGUAUUUCUCCUUUUGCUGGUAUUUCUGUCAAGCACAUUGAAUGGUCUGUGUGUAUGAAAUGUGUGUAUGAAAAGUGUGUGUAUGAAAUGUGUGUAUGAAAUAUGUGUAUGAAAUGUGUGUAUGAAAAGUGGAAUGUAAACAGACUAGCCUGGUCUUGGCAGCGAGUGUGAUCAUUCUAAUGAGCGGAGAGGGAGCAGUGAGCAAGGUGUGUGUGGGGAGGGAGGUGCAGUGAGCACGGUGUGUGUGUGUGUGGAGGUGCAGUGGGCACGGUGUGUGUGUGUGUGGAGGUGC
ensembl:lncRNA